rnacentral:rRNA from 1 species
AAACCUGCGAAACUCGAAUGAACGAACGGAGAGAUUCAUCGUCAUUCCGUGGCGUACCCUUUCGCGCCUCGAUGUCUGUGUGCGCGCGUCUCACGGCGCGUCUGCGCGGGCACGGGUCGAAGGGGUCGACGUUCGCGGACGGCGUGCACUUCUCUCUUAGUAUGUGCUGCUCACGUGGCACAUAUACAUCGCGACCCGUUCGAGGUCGGUCUAAGCGCAGUUCGGGAGCCGGACGGCCGCGCGUCUAAACAACGCCGGCCGUUCGACCGCGACUGUCGCCGGCCGGCCUUCGGACGGUAUAUAUUAUGUAGGAACCGCGCACGCGUUUUGACGCGUCAGGCCCGACGCAAGUGUCGUGUCACCGUCGACGUCCUGCCCAAGUGCGGACGCCGACGUGGCGCCGCUGUUGUCGCAGCCGUGUUGUCUCUGACUGUGCGCGUAUCCGUCUGCGAUGUUUCAGUUUCGGGCACUCGCAGGAC